rnacentral:rRNA from 1 species
CCUACGGGAGGCAGCAGUGGGGAAUAUUGCGCAAUGGGCGAAAGCCUGACGCAGCGACGCCGCGUGAGGGAUGAAGGUCUUCGGAUCGUAAACCUCUGUCAGCAGGGAAGAACGGUCACUGUGCUAAUCAGCAGUGAAUUGACGGUACCUGCAAAGGAAGCACCGGCUAACUCCGUGCCAGCAGCCGCGGUAAUACGGAGGGUGCGAACGUUAAUCGGAAUUACCGGGCGUAAAGCGCUCGUAGGCGGUAUGGCAAGUCAAAGGUGAAAUCUCCGGGCUCAACGUGGGGACUGCCUUUGAAACUGGCAAGCUGGAGUGUGUGAGAGGAAAGUGGAAUUCCAGGUGUAGGAGUGAAAUCCGUAGAUAUCAGGAGGAACAUCAGUGGCGAAGGCGACUUACUGGCACGUAACUGACGCUGAGGAGCGAAAGCGUGGGUAGCAAACAGGAUUAGAUACCCUAGUAGUC